UAACAAAAAACAAACUGUAAAAGCAAAAAUGUAAGGGAAUUAUAUUGUGUGUUGCUGACCAUGCAAUACACUGCUACAGCAGAACUAACCUCCAGUGUCUCUCUCCCUCCCUUCCCUCUGUAGUUAGUGAAGCACAGGGACAGGGUGUUUGUUGGUGGGGGACAAGGUGUUUGUUUACUAUGUUGGCAUGCUGCUGGAUGAAACCCUGUUUUACUCUGGCCUCGAACAAGGAAAUAAGUUAUCUUUUGAGCUGGGCAAGGGUGUGUGUGUCUCAAGUGUGUCUGUGUGUUAGUGUGGGCCAGGCAAUCAAGGCAUUGGACCUGGGUGUAGUCACUAUAACUGUGUGUGUGUGUGUACGUCAUGCAAUCAAGCUGUGAUACCUGGGAGUGGUUACUAUGAAAGGACAACCAGAGUAUGACUACGGCAGUCCACCCGAAGAUACCCCCCCAACCACGUCUUCCAGAUGGAGCUGUUUUAGUUACAAGGGAGGAUGGAGGAAUCUUCUGUCGCAUCAUCACUAAGGGACCGGGAUACGCCGAGCCUAAUGGAGCUGCCGUAGAAAGUGGCUAAAGGGGUUGGUGGAUGCAGAGCUGCAAGCCAGGGCUGAGAGAGGCUGUUAGUCCAAGUUUUUUGUGAGACUAUUAUAGUCAUAGACACAGCUCAAACGAGAGUAAAGUAUCUGUAUCAGAUGAGGCAUGUCCCCCCCUGUAGAGCUGACACUAAAUGAUCCUAAAGGCCCCAUUUACAUUUGACAUUUUAUACAAUUAGCAGACGCUCUUAUCCAGAGCGACUUACAGUUAGUGCUAUCAUUUUAAGAUAGCUAGGUGGGACAACCACAUCUCACAGCCCUGGGGGACACCAGUAGUGAGAGUCUGUGGUGCAGACACAAAUCCUCUCCACGUCAUCUGGUAGGAGCGGCCUGCCAGGUAGGAUGCAAUCCAAGAGUGUGCAGAGCCUGAGACGCCCAGCCCUGAGAGGGUGGAGAGGAGGAUCUGACAGAGCCCUA